rnacentral:lncRNA from 1 species
AUUAUCUCUUUGCCGUGUUCUUUAGCUCAAGUGUGAGAGGUUAAUGCGGAUUACUGUUGUUUUAGAUUGCUGGCUGGAGUUAGUUUGUUCCAGUCUACAGCUGGGAGAGGCUUUCCUACUCAAUCUCUUCUUUGAUGCCAUUUCUUGGAUUUGCAGGAAGCCUCUUCUAAACAGAGCAUUGGAUAUAUGGAAAGGUCAGAAAAAGGCAAAUGUCUUGCAGAAAAACUGGUCUUCUCUGCAUUUCCAUGUAGCUAAGACUUCAAGGAUUUUUUAAAGAAAAGCUGGUCAAAAUGGUAUCGAUAUGAAUUGACUCCAGUGCCUCUCACAGGUGUGCCAUGGAUUUUGGUUACAAGGAGGCUGUAAUGGCACUGCAAAACCAGUUUGGUUUCAACAAAUGGAGCAAUGUUGGUGAACACGUAAGGAACUAUAGAGGUGGAGCGUUUCACUACAUCUGUGCCCUGCCCCUUCCACGUGGAACAUGUCUGGGGGCACAAGGAGGAAGGAAACUCAGAGUUCUGCCAGGAAAGAAUAAUCUCUAUAAAUGUCUGCCUGCAUGGAGGCACAGACAGACGCAACAGCUGCUUCCACAGUGAUAUCAUCCUCUUCUUGGAUAUUUAGGAACCACAAAGACUACAGAAUAAGGAAGGAAGCCUAGGCACACUGUUAUUUCUAAACUGCCAGGUUCAGACUAUUUCUAAACUUCAGGUUCUGUUAAAAAUGAUUUGGUGUUGUUGCCCCUAAGCUGGGCAUGUGUGAUCUGGUCUUUUCUUAGACUGAAUUUUAUGUGCUUUCUUCCAUCAGAAAAAAAAUGCUAUAUAUAUGCCAUUGUUUGUUUGUUUGUUUGUUUUUAUGGGAUGGGCAACCCAGUGUGGUAUAUUAUCCAUUUUUACUGCUGCUCAAAUACAUCUGAAAAAGACAAGGUGACUUGAAGCAGGAGCAUGGUUCUAACCAUCUGUGCUGAUUUUGAAAAUGGGAGUAAUAAAUACCAGGAGGAG